rnacentral:rRNA from 1 species
GACUCCAUGAAGUUGGAAUCGCUAGUAAUCGUGGAUCAGCAUGCCACGGUGAAUACGUUCCCGGGCCUUGUACACACCGCCCGUCACACCACGAAAGUCAAUUGUACCAGAAGGCGUUGAGCUAAUCCCUGAUUCGUCAGGGAAGGCAGGCGACUAAGGUAUGGUUGGUAAUUGGGGUGAAGUCGUAACAAGGUAGCCGUAGGGGAACCUGCGGCUGGAUCACCUCCUUUCUAAGGA